GGAGUAGACUUUUAAAGUUACUCGGAAUUGAUCUCCAACGCUCACCGAGGUAAAUGAAGGACUUUGAGGAUGAAGCUCAAUUAGGAAGCUUUUGUGUUUAAUUACUCGCUUGUCUGUAUUGCUAAGUGACGUUGUAGUUGAUUUAAUAGUAUUAUGGGAUGACUGUAAAUCCGUUUAGAUCAAUACGGAUAUGUGUAGUUAUGGGCUUUAUAACCUUGGGAGACCCAUAACUGGUUGGUAA